CGGGCGGCAUUAGUACACAAUAGUCGGCUCGCGGCAUUUAAGCUUGCCGUGUUCCUGCAAGUUGUCACCCGUAGAAACAGCCUUCCCCGGGGCGGCCUCGAAGCUCCUGCGGAGUGACGGGAAGAGGCUGGUGGAGGGGAGGGGGAGACAAGGAAGACUUUAAUUUUAAAGAAAGACUUUCGCCCUCGCGACCUCCCCCGCACUCAUCUCAGGAUAGAAACGCCCCUUGACUGAGCUAAUGGUGUUGUGUUAAAGGAAAGAGAUGGUUUUUCUUUUAAAUGUAACAGUUUCUUCCUUCUGAGGUAACGCGGGGCCAGUGCGUACCCAGAAUUCCCGAGGUCUCUCGUGGCGUGUUUCCGGUUAUUGUGCUCUCGCGGCAGCGGCAGGGCGAGGCUCGGACGACCGGCGUCCGCUUCUCUCAGCCCCUGGUCUGGCGGGCUCGUCACCCGUUGCCCGUUUCUCUCAGCAAAUUAACAGUUUCCUAGUAUUUUGUGAUUGUAAGAAGAACACUGCUUUUUAAAAAAAUGCCUACUCCCUGCAACUGUCCAGUAUUUUUUGGCAUCCCUUAAAUUUUACAUUAAGGGCAGAUGUCUCACUCGCCAGGCUUCCUCACCCUAGACCUGGUCCUACCAUGAAGAGUCAACUUACUUCACAGAUUAACAUGGUGUCUGACUCAAACACUGGCUUGAGAGUGAGCAGCCAUCUUGUAUUCACAAUGGAAAAAAAAAAAGCCCAUAUUGAGGAUGACAGAGCAAAAAGAAGGGUUCUAGGAUAUUGAUGACAUCAUGGAGCACUGCACCAGCCUGAAUGUCACCCUUUGUCAUUUUUGUUAUGUGAGAAAAAUAACUCUAUUUAGUUAAGCUACUGUCAUCAGGUUCCAUUACAUGUGACCAAAUGUGAUUCCUAAACUAUAACCUUGCUCCCUAUGUUUCCUCACCUUUGACUCAUUCUCAAACCAUUCCAUUCUGGCUUCUGGCCCAUCAUUCCACUGGGCUCACCAAUGACCUGCAUGUUGUGAAAUCCAGGGGACACUUUCAGUUCUCGUGUUACUUAACCUCCCAGCAGCAUUUGACUCUGUGACUUCCUUUUUGAAACAGUCUUCCCGUGGCUUCUAUGGGUUUGCUCCUUCACCUCCAGCUGCCCCCUCUCUGUCUCCUUCAUGGGUUAAUCUUCCUCUUCUAGCCAAACUUACCAUCUUUCAGCCUCUAUGACAUACCACAGCCUCAGCAACAUGCCUUUCCCUCUUUCUGGAAUGCUCUGCCCUCCCUCCUUUUGCCAGCUAACUCUUCCUCACCCUUCAGUUCUCCAUCCUUUUUUUUUUUUAAAGGUUUAAUUUUAUUUAUUUUUCACUGCAUUGGGUCUUCAUUGCUGCGCACAGGCU